GAUGAAGAACGUAGCGAAAUGCGAUACGUAGUGUGAAUUGCAGAAUUCAGUGAAUCAUCGAAUCUUUGAACGCACAUUGCACCUCUCGGUAUUCCGGGAGGUAUGCCUGUUCGAGCGUCAUUUGUACCCUCAAGCUCCGCUUGGUGUUGGGUGUUUGUUCCGCCUCUGUGUGUGAACUCGCCUCAAAACAAUUGGCAGCCGGCGUACUUGUUUCGGAGCGCAGCACAUUUUGCGAUCCAGAUCAACGUACAGCGGCAUCCAAGAAGCCUUAUUUAACGCUCUUGACCUCGGAUCAGGUAGGGAUACCCGCUGAACUUAAGCAUAUCAAUAAGCGGAGGA
rnacentral:misc_RNA from 1 species